ACUCAGGGAGGUAGUGACAAGAAAUAGCAAUGCGGGGCUUCAUGCUCUGCAAUUGGAAUGAGUACAAUUUAAAUCACUUAACGAGUUUCAAUUGGAGGGCAAGUCUGGUGCCAGCAGCCGCGGUAAUUCCAGCUCCAAUAGCGUAUAUGUAAGUUGUUGCGAUUAAAAAGCCCGUAGCUGAACCUCGGGCAACCCUGACGGUCCGCGUUUCGUGAGUACUGUCGUGGGUUGUCUUUCUGGCAAGACCGUAUCUCGGCGUUAACUCGCCGGGAACGGCGCUUGCCAAGGUUACUUUGAGUAAAAUAGAGUGUUCAAAGCAAGCUCGCGCUCUGAAUACACUAGCAUGGGAUAACACGACAUGACCGAUGGUCUAUCUUGUUGGCCUGUAGACCUGUUGGUAAUGGCUAAUAGGGACGGUCGGGGGCAUUCGUAUUUCGCUGUCAGAGGUGAAAUUCUUGGAUUUGCGAAAGACGAACUACUGCGAAAGCAUUUGCCAAGGACGCUUUCAUUAGUCAAGGACGAAAGUCGGGGGAUCGAAGACGAUUAGAUACCGUCGUAGUCUCGACCAUAAACGAUGCCAAUUAGGGAUUGGAGGGUGGAUCCAAUAUGCCUCCUCCAGCACCUUCCGCGAAAGCAAAAUUUAUGGGCUUCGGGGGGAGUAUGGUCGCAAGGCUGAAACUUAAAGGAAUUGACGGAACGGCACCACCAGGCGUGGAGCCUGCGGCUUAAUUUGACCCAACACGGGAAAACUUACCAGGUCCAGACAAGAUUAGGAUUUACAGAUUGAUAGCUCUUUAAAGAUUUUUUGGAUGGUGGUGCAUGGCCGUUCUUAGUUCGUGGAUUGAUUUGUCAGGUUGAUUCCGGUAACGGACGAGACCCCAACCUACUAACUAGCCCUGGUUGCUUUGCAGCCAGCUGUGCUUCUUAGAGGGACUCUCGGAAUGAAACCGAAGGAGGUGGGGCAAUAACAGGUCUGUGAUGCCCUUAGAUGUCCUGGGCCGCACGCGCGCUACACUGAUGCAUUCAACGAGCCUACCCUGUGCCGAGAGGUAUGGGUAAUCUGAGAAACUGCAUCGUGAUGGGGCUAGAUUAUUGCAAUUAUUGAUCUUCAACGAGGAAUGCCUAGUAAGCGCGAGUCAUCAACUCGCGUUGAUUACGUCCCUGCCGUUUGUACACACCGCCCGUCGCUCCUACCGAUUGGGUGUUCUGGUGAAAUGUUCGGAUUGGUCGCCUUUCCGUCAGGGAGACGUCUGAGAAGUUCAUUGAACCCUCUCAUCUAGA
rnacentral:rRNA from 1 species